UAGGGAAUCUUCCACAAUGGACGCAAGUCUGAUGGAGCAACGCCGCGUGAGUGAAGAAGGCUUUCGGGUCGUAAAACUCUGUUAUUGAAGAAGAACGUGUGUGACAGUAACUGGUCAUGCAGUGACGGUAUUCAAUCAGAAAGUCACGGCUAACUACGUGCCAGCAGCCGCGGUAAUACGUAGGUGGCAAGCGUUGUCCGGAUUUAUUGGGCGUAAAGCGAGUGCAGGCGGUCUUUUAAGUCUGAUGUGAAAGCCUU
rnacentral:rRNA from 1 species